rnacentral:rRNA from 1 species
GACGAACGCUGGCGGCGUGCUUAACACAUGCAAGUCGAACGGAAAGGCCCUGCUUUUGUGGGGUGCUCGAGUGGCGAACGGGUGAGUAACACGUGAGUAACCUGCCCUUGACUUUGGGAUAACUUCAGGAAACUGGGGCUAAUACCGGAUAGGGGCUCCUGCUGCAUGGUGGGGGUUGGAAAGUUUCGGCGGUUGGGGAUGGACUCGCGGCUUAUCAGCUUGUUGGUGGGGUAGUGGCUUACCAAGGCUUUGACGGGUAGCCGGCCUGAGAGGGUGACCGGCCACAUUGGGACUGAGAUGCGGCCCAGACUCCUACGGGAGGCAGCAGUGGGGAAUAUUGCACAAUGGGCGGAAGCCUGAUGCAGCAACGCCGCGUGCGGGAUGACGGCCUUCGGGUUGUAAACCGCUUUCGCCUGUGACGAAGCGUGAGUGACGGUAAUGGGUAAAGAAGCACCGGCUAACUACGUG